rnacentral:rRNA from 1 species
ACGCUGGCGGCAGGCCUAACACAUGCAAGUCGAGCGGUAGAGAGAAGCUUGCUUCUCUUGAGAGCGGCGGACGGGUGAGUAAUGCCUAGGAAUCUGCCUGGUAGUGGGGGAUAACGUUCGGAAACGGACGCUAACACCGCAUACGUCCUACGGGAGAAAGCAGGGGACCUUCGGGCCUUGCGCUAUCAGAUGAGCCUAGGUCGGAUUAGCUAGUUGGUGAGGUAAUGGCUCACCAAGGCGACGAUCCGUAACUGGUCUGAGAGGAUGAUCAGUCACACUGGAACUGAGACACGGUCCAGACUCCUACGGGAGGCAGCAGUGGGGAAUAUUGGACAAUGGGCGAAAGCCUGAUCCAGCCAUGCCGCGUGUGUGAAGAAGGUCUUCGGAUUGUAAAGCACUUUAAGUUGGGAGGAAGGGUUGUAGAUUAAUACUCUGCAAUUUUGACGUUACCGACAGAAUAAGCACCGGCUAACUCUGUGCCAGCAGCCGCGGUAAUACAGAGGGUGCAAGCGUUAAUCGGAAUUACUGGGCGUAAAGCGCGCGUAGGUGGUUUGUUAAGUUGGAUGUGAAAUCCCCGGGCUCAACCUGGGAACUGCAUUCAAAACUGACUGACUAGAGUAUGGUAGAGGGUGGUGGAAUUUCCUGUGUAGCGGUGAAAUGCGUAGAUAUAGGAAGGAACACCAGUGGCGAAGGCGACCACCUGGGCUAAUACUGACACUGAGGUGCGAAAGCGUGGGGAGCAAAC